AUACUUUUCUCGGUCUUUUGGUUAAGAUCAAGUAUAGUAUUUGUUCUUAUUAGUUUAAUAUCUGAUAUGUGGUUUAUUGUGUCACACGAUAUUAAAUUACUUUUUUGAGGGGGAGUGAAUAUCACAAUAGCUUGCUAUUGGGCUUCUUGAGUGUUGCCUAUGUGUUGCACUAUUGCAUUGGCUGAGGCACCCAAC